GGAAAGAUGACCGAGAGGCUUAAGGUAACGCAUUGCUAAUGCGUCGUGCAAAAUUUUGCACCGAGGGUUCGAAUCCCUCUCUUUCCA
rnacentral:tRNA from 1 species